GCAGGAAACACCCUGGACAGCUGUAUCUAUUGCACAGGAGAUACAAGGAUUUCUGAAAACAGUGACAAAUUACAACCCUGGUUAAACUUUAGAUUCUCUGAAACGACCAUAACGCCAGCUAUACACCUCUGAUGUCCUGACAACUUUCCUGUAUAAUGAACUCUGAUGGUGAAACGGAUGGAGUGAGGUGUGCAUACAUAAGGUGCAGGACAUGAAAGGGCCGAGUGGGAGAGGCCUGGGCCGCUGAGCUUUAAAGUGUCAGGGAGACUUUUCAAUAGGGGCGUAUUGAGUGGUUUUGAGAGCGAGCAGGGUUAGCAAGACUUCCAGUUUGCUCACAGCUUAAUUCUGAAGUGAUGCUGGAGUGUGGAGAUUAGAGACUGGGGGGCAGGGAGGGGCAUACAGAGCAAAGCAGGCUGGCUAAGGAAUAGCAGGGUUACUAUGGAGGACUAUAAUCUUGUAUUUCAGCGCCUGGAGACGGCAAAUGAAAGGCUUGGCUUAAAAGAGAAAAACUUCCUGCGAACUGAAGGAAGGAAUAAAAUUGUCUUAACCAUAUUGACAUGCACGGUGGAAAAUAAAAGCCAUUGUGUAAGAGUAUAAUGCACCCUCCCUCCAAAAAAAGAAGAACUAUAUCGAACAAUGGUUUCAGUUAAAAGGAUACGUGCUUCUCCCUAUAACAGUCUCCUACUAAGUAGUCUACUUACCAAUCCAGGUUAUUAGGCAAUCAUGCGAUCUGUCGGUGUAAGCUGAUUGUGCGAAUGUGGAAUCCCCUCAGUGGAGAUCAGACAGCCAGGCUCAGGUACAUAAUGUAUCCUGGAAU